GACAAGGUGGCCGAGCGGUCUAUGGCGCUGCCUUCAGGUGGCAGUCUUCUUCGGAAGGCGCGGGUUCAAAUCCCGUCCUUGUCA
rfam:Vavraia culicis subsp. floridensis unplaced genomic scaffold supercont1.24, whole genome shotgun sequence.